CGGGCGGCAGCAGUGGGGAAUAUUGCACAAUGGGCGCAAGCCUGAUGCAGCGACGCCGCGUGAGGGAUGACGGCCUUCGGGUUGUAAACCUCUUUCAGCACGGAAGAAGCGAAAGUGACGGUACGUGCAGAAGAAGCGCCGGCUAACUACGUGCCAGCAGCCGCGGUAAUACGUAGGGCGCAAGCGUUGUCCGGAAUUAUUGGGCGUAAAGAGCUCGUAGGCGGUUUGUCGCGUCUGCUGUGAAAGCCCGGGGCUUAACCCCGGGUGUGCAGUGGGUACGGGCAGACUUGAGUGCAGUAGGGGAGACUGGAACUCCUGGUGUAGCGGUGAAAUGCGCAGAUAUCAGGAAGAACACCGAUGGCGAAGGCAGGUCUCUGGGCUGUUACUGACGCUGAGGAGCGAAAGCAUGGGGAGCGAACAGGAUUAGAUACCCGAGU
rnacentral:rRNA from 1 species